rnacentral:rRNA from 1 species
GACGAACGCUGGCGGCGUGCUUAACACAUGCAAGUCGAACGGAAAGGCCCUGCUUUUGUGGGGUGCUCGAGUGGCGAACGGGUGAGUAACACGUGAGUAACCUGCCCUUGACUUUGGGAUAACUUCAGGAAACUGGGGCUAAUACCGGAUAGGAGCUCCUGCUGCAUGGUGGGGUUGGAAAGUUUCGGCGGUUGGGGAUGGACUCGCGGCUUAUCAGCUUGUUGGUGGGGUAGUGGCUUACCAAGGCUUUGACGGGUAGCCGGCCUGAGAGGGUGACCGGCCACAUUGGGACUGAGAUACGGCCCAGACUCCUACGGGAGGCAGCAGUGGGGAAUAUUGCACAAUGGGCGGAAGCCUGAUGCAGCAACGCCGCGUGCGGGAGGACGGCCUUCGGGUUGUAAACCGCUUUCGCCUGUGACGAAGCGUGAGUGACGGUAAUGGGUAAAGAAGCACCGGCUAACUACGU